GCUUAUCUCUUUAUUAUUUUCGGUAAAUAAAUGAUAUUUUGUAGACGUAAAAACUAGUAUUCACUCCACGGUAUGGGCGAUGGCACCUAAACACAUUUUCAAUGGAAAAAAAUUGUCAAAAUUGCAUGCCUUACUGCGGCAUGCAUAUUUAAUGAAGGUUUUCAAACAAUUUUAAAAAUUAUGGAGGUAAUGGGCAUUACAAUUGGCGAAGCCGCUGCUCAGUAUGCCAGCAAACGAGACAACGAGCGCGUUGUCAAAGAAAAUCGCCGCUCGUCUGAAGCUUUCAAAGAGAGCACAACAAAAAAAAGACAAGCUAGACUUGAAGAACAUUAUCUUCUGGAACAGUCAGAAGGCAUAGUGUGUGGUGCAGGUAUCGCUGAUUAAACAUAAUCCUAACUCAAGAUUUUAUCAACAGCGCAGAGGCUAGUCUAUUUUUAGGCGUUCUGUUCAAGGGCCUUUCCAAUGUAUAUAGAGCGUAUAAGAUAAAUAAAAAAAAUUUUUUAAUGUAA